GACGAACGCUGGCGGCGUGCUUAACACAUGCAAGUCGAACGGAAAGGCCCUGCUUUUGUGGGGUGCUCGAGUGGCGAACGGGUGAGUAACACGUGAGUAACCUGCCCUUGACUUUGGGAUAACUUCAGGAAACUGGGGCUAAUACCGGAUAGGAGCUCCUGCUGCAUGGUGGGGGUUGGAAAGUUUCGGCGGUUGGGGAUGGACUCGCGGCUUAUCAGCUUGUUGGUGGGGUAGUGGCUUGCCAAGGCUUUGACGGGUAGCCGGCCUGAGAGGGUGACCGGCCACAUUGGGACUGAGAUACGGCCCAGACUCCUACGGGAGGCAGCAGUGGGGAAUAUUGCACAAUGGGCGGAAGCCUGAUGCAGCAACGCCGCGUGCGGGAUGACGGCCUUCGGGUUGUAAACCGCUUUCGCCUGUGACGAAGCGUGAGUGACGGUAAUGGGUAAAGAAGCACCAGCUAACUACGUG
rnacentral:rRNA from 1 species